UACGUAGGGUGCGAGCGUUGUCCGGAAUUACUGGGCGUAAAGAGCUCGUAGGUGGUUUGUCGCGUUGUUCGUGAAAACUCACAGCUCAACUGUGGGCGUGCGGGCGAUACGGGCAGACUGGAGUACUGCAGGGGAGACUGGAAUUCCUGGUGUAGCGGUGGAAUGCGCAGAUAUCAGGAGGAAUACCAGUGGCGAAGGCGGCUUCUUGGCCUGUUCUUGACGCUGGAGGCGCGGAAAGCCUGGGGGAGCAAACGGG
rnacentral:rRNA from 1 species